GACGAACGCUGGCGGCGUGCUUAACACAUGCAAGUCUAACGGAAAGGCCCUUCUUUUGUGGGGUUCUCGAGUGGCGAACGGUUGAUUAACACUUUAGUAACCUUCCCUUUACUUUUGGUUAACUUCAGGAACCUUGGGCUAAUACCGGAUCGGAUCUCCUGCUGCCUGGUGGGGUUUGGACCUUUUCGGCUGUUGCGGAGGGACUCGCGCCUUAUCAGUUUUUUGGUGGGGUAGUGGCUUACCAAGGCUUUGACUGGUAGCCGGCCUGAGAGGGUGACCGGCCACAUUGGGACUGAGAUACGGCCCAGACGCCUACGGGAGGCAGAAGUGGGGAAUAUUGAACAAUGGGCGGAAGCCUGAUGCAGCAACGCCGCGUGAGGGAUGACGGCCUUCGGGGUGUAAACCGCUGUCGCCUGUGACGAAGCGUGAGUGACGGUAAUGGGUAAAGAAGCACCGGAGAACUAAGUG
rnacentral:rRNA from 1 species